rnacentral:tRNA from 1 species
GUUGGAUUAGCUCAGUUGGUAGAGCAUUGUACACUAAAAGUACAAAGGUCAGGAGUUCGACUCUCCUAUCGAAUA